CAUUGAAACACCGGUCACCGUACGAUCACCAAAGUUAAGCAAAGUUGAGCCUGGUUAGUAUCUGGAUGGGUGAUCGCUUGGUAAUACCAAGUGCCGUAAG